GCCAGUUUUCUGGUUGUGGCCCACGCCCCCAUCCACAGCGCGCACAAUGAGGAUGUAUUCAGACUUCGUCUCACGGUCAAGCAAGGACGUGGUGGUAAUUUCACCUGCAGGAGAGAUGCCAUGGUAUGGAAGUGUCCCAGAAUCACCAGGGGGAAGGCUGUCUGCUGAACUCUUAUGGGACUGCUGUCUUCCAGCAAAGCACCUGGCAGACAGCAGGCCCCCACUGAUAUCUGAAUGAAUAUGUGAAUGAAUGUCCAGGAGCCUCAUGUUACUUCCCAGCUUCUGGCUGAAAAGCCUGGGGUCUCUUGUCGGUUUUCUUCUGCACCCUCUUCCCUCCCAGCUUCAAGAAGGAGAGAGAUCAGGAGGGAGGCAUCUGGAGCAGUGAAGAAGAUGGGGAAACUGAGGCACACCAUGUAUUAAGAGGAGAAGCUGGGAUUCAAGAAUGAGGUCAGCAGCUGAAGGAGGCGGGCACUUAGGCCUGAAGAAGGGCACCCCUGAGAGUGGGAUAACACUGAGGAAAAAACCGGCUGCCUGCAAACAGGAGGAGACUCCUGCCCAAAGGCAGGCUCCCUGGCUGGGCCUGCAGUCAGCGGAGGCGCACAGGACCACGGCCGUGGG